rnacentral:rRNA from 2 species
AAACCAACAGGGAUUGCCUUAGUAGCGGCGAGUGAACAGGCAAGAGCUCAGAUUUGAAAGCCUUAACAGGCAUUGUAUUCUGAAGUUGGAGUCCUGGAUUUCGAUGCCUAAGUCUCCUGGAAAGGAGCACCUUAGAGGGUGAUAGUCCCGUACGGCAUUGGCCCAUUGUAGGACUUUAACAUGGAGUCGAGUUGUUUGGGAAUGCAGCUCAAACGGGUGGUAUGCUCCAUCUAAAGCUAAAUAUUGGCGAGAGACCGAUAGCGAACAAGUACUGUGAAGGAAAGAUGAAAAGAACUUUGAAAAGAGAGUGAAAUAGUACGUGAAAUUGUUGAAAUGGAAGGAUAGGCCGCUAACCAUGUAGCGUCGUGUUUGGGGGGUGGAUAAAAGCUGAUGAAUGUAGCUCCUCGGAGUGUUAUAGCAUCGGUUAAUACACCCAUCUGGGCGCGAGGACCUUUAGGACGCUACUAAAUGGUGGUCUAUCAC